rnacentral:rRNA from 1 species
UACGUAGGGUCCGAGCGUUGUCCGGAAUUAUUGGGCGUAAAGGGCUCGUAGGCGGUCUGUUGCGUCGGGAGUGAAAACUUACAGCUUAACUGUGAGCGUGCUUCCAAUACGGGGCAGACUUGAGGUAUUCAGGGGAGAACGGAAUUCCUGGUGUAGCGGUGAAAUGCGCAGAUAUCAGGAGGAACACCGGUGGCGAAGGCGGCUUGCUGGGCCUUACCUGACGCUGAGGAGCGAAAGCGUGGGGAGCGAACAGG